GAUGAACGCUGGCGGCGUGCCUAAUACAUGCAAGUCGAGCGAACAGAUGAUGAGCUUGCUCCUCUGACGUUAGCGGCGGACGGGUGAGUAACACGUGGAUAACCUACCUAUAAGACUGGGAUAACUUCGGGAAACCGGAGCUAAUACCGGAUAAUAUAUUGAACCGCAUGGUUCAAUAGUGAAAGACGGUUUUGCUGUCACUUAUAGAUGGAUCCGCGCCGCAUUAGCUAGUUGGUAAGGUAACGGCUUACCAAGGCAACGAUGCGUAGCCGACCUGAGAGGGUGAUCGGCCACACUGGAACUGAGACACGGUCCAGAGUCCUACGGGAGGCAGCAGUAGGGAAUCUUCCGCAAUGGGCGAAAGCCUGACGGAGCAACGCCGCGUGAGUGAUGAAGGUCUUCGGAUCGUAAAACUCUGUUAUUAGGGAAGAACAAAUGUGUAAGUAAAUAUGCACGUCUUGACGGUACCUAAUCAGAAAGCCACGGCUAACUACGUG
rnacentral:rRNA from 1 species